rnacentral:rRNA from 1 species
UACAGAGGGUGCAAACGUUGCUCGGAAUUAUUGGGCGUAAAGCGCGUGUAGGCGGCUUGUUAAGUUGGUUGUGAAAACCCAUGGCUCAACCAUGGAAGGGCGUCCAAAACUGGCAAGCUAGAGUCCCGACGAGGAUGGCGGAAUUCCCAGUGUAGAGGUGAAAUUCGUAGAUAUUGGGAGGAACACCGGUGGCGAAGGCGGCCAUCUGGGAGGGCACUGACGCUGAGACGCGAAAGCCAGGGGAGCGAACGGGAUUAGAUACCCUGGUAGU